AUUGAACGCUGGCGGCAGGCCUAACACAUGCAAGUCGAGCGAGCGGCGGACGGGUGAGUAAUGUCUGGGAAACUGCCUGAUGGAGGGGGAUACCUCUUGUAAACGGUAGCUAAUACCCCAUACAAUCGGAUGUGCCCAAAUGGGAUUAGCUAGUGGGUGGGGUAACGGCGCACCUAGGCGACGAUCCCUAGCUGGUCUGAGAGGAUGACCAGCCACACUGGAACUGAGACACGGUCCAGACUCCUACGGGAGGCAGCAGUGGGGAAUAUUGCACAAUGGGCGCAAGCCUGAUGCAGCCAUGCCGCGUGUGUGAAAAAGGCCUUCGGGUUGUAAAGCACUUUCAGCGGGGAGGCGUUACCCGCAGAAGAAGCACCGGCUAACUCCGUGCCAGCAGCCGCGGUAAUAC
rnacentral:rRNA from 1 species